rnacentral:rRNA from 1 species
UACGAAGGGGGCGAGCGUUGUUCGGAUUUACUGGGCGUAAAGAGCUCGUAGGCGGUUUGUCGCGUCUGCCGUGAAAGUCCGGGGCUCAACUCCGGAUCUGCGGUGGGUACGGGCAGACUAGAGUGAUGUAGGGGAGACUGGAAUUCCUGGUGUAGCGGUGGAAUGCGUAGAUAUCAGGAAGAACACCGGUGGCGAAGGCGGCUCGCUGGGCCAGUUCUGACACUCAUCCGCGAAAGCGUGGGGAGCAAACAGG